AAGUCGUAACAAGGUUUCCGUAGGUGAACCUGCGGAAGGAUCAUUAACACGUAUCCACGUAAACCCAUGUGCAGGAUGCCUGUGUGCGAUCUUGGAUCAGUGAUGCUAGCGGGGAAAUGACGGUGACCACCCUCGGGUGCCACUCUGCUAGCCGGACCUCUGGCUCUGCUGACUGGUUUCGGCCAGUCCAGUAGAGUGGGAGAGAUCCCAAUCAUUGAUCUGAGCAUGCACGCGUUGCCGUCGACUUUUUUUUUACGCCUUGUAAAUAAACUGUUCUAAACAAAAAACAAUGAGAACUUGUCGGUUCGUCCGCGAGUUAUCUUGUUUCUUACUAAAUUUUUAAACAAUCCUUAGCAACGGAUAUCUUGGUUCUC
rnacentral:misc_RNA from 1 species